rnacentral:rRNA from 1 species
AUUGAACGCUGGCGGCAGGCCUAACACAUGCAAGUCGAACGAGUGGCGGACGGGUGAGUAAUGUCUGGGAAACUGCCUGAUGGAGGGGGAUAACUACUGGAAACGGUAGCUAAUACCGCAUACACUCGGAUGUGCCAAGAUGGGAUUAGCUAGUGGGUGGGGUAAUGGCUAACAUGGGCGGAGAUCCCUAGCUGGUCUGAGAGGAGGACCAGCCACACUGGAACUGAGACACGGGCCAGACUCCUACGGGAGGCAGCAGUGGGGAAUAUGGCACAAUGGGCGCAAGCCUGAUGCAGCCAUGCCGCGUGUAUGAAGAAGGCCUUCGGGUUGUAAAGUACUUUCAGCGGGGAGGCGUUACCCGCAGAAGAAGCACCGGCUAACUCCGUGCCAGCAGCCGCGGUAAUUC